rnacentral:lncRNA from 1 species
GGGGGUCUUGUUACAACUUCAGAACGGUUUCCGUGUCGUUAUUCGUACAAGACCCUCGUCUCUCUCUACCCCCCAUUUGGUUAUUAGGAGGAGGUCCCCUCGAGAUCCUCGAAUAACUGGACCUGCUGGACGGGUCAAGUGGCGCCCGACGUGGAGCACGAGGUACGACUGCCCUCCGGACAACGGAUUAAGGAUUAAAGAGGUACCGCGCAGACUGAGAAACAGUGGGACAGUCCACCGACACUUCACUCGAGUGUCGAGUACGGACGUCGGGAGGUAAGCCUAGGCAUUCAAUUGUUGUCCCAUUAACCAUGGGGCAUUUAGUGAAGAGAUAAAGGGUUCUCUUAAGGAGAGAGGGAUAAGAGUUUUUUUAAAAAAGGGGAAUUUAAUAAAAUAUUUUUGUUUUGUGGACAAGAGAUGUCCAUGGCUGGUAUUAAAUGGUUCUGAAACUUAGAAUAAAGUAGGCAAAGAAAUCAAUAGUUUAAUAAAACAAGGAGAAGAUGUCCAUGAGUCCUUUUUUAGUUAUUGGGGAAUCAUCAGAGAUCUCCUUGAGCAGGCAGAAAAGGGCGGAAAAGGUGCUCGCCUCUUUGCCCUUACUGAAGAUUUUUUAGAAAACUCCCAAUCGCCAUCUCGCAAAAGCAAGACUAAGCCGCCUGCGCACAGUAUCUCUAUUAGAAGGUUUAGCAGAAGGCUACUUGGUACCCAAUAAAUAAAAUAAAGUUAUUCAGUCUGUCCUCACUAGAGGCCAAUAUUUAACUUGAAAGUCAGAGUUUGUGGAAGACAGCCUCCUGGACUGCUGACAAAAUCUGUUGUUAAGGCAAUUUCGCUGCAGACAUAAAACAAUUAGGGCUCUCCCCUGGUGUCCUCGCCCAGACCGCACAAGCGGCCCUGAGAGCUUGGCGCGCUGUCCCUGCUACAGGGGCACUAACUAUGCCCCUAACCAAGAUUAUACAAGGGCCCCAAGAGUCCUAUGCGCAGUUCGUUGCCAGAUUGCAGGAAGCAGCUGAGAAAAUUUUGGGACCUGAGGGUCUGUUAGUCCGACAACUUGCUCUUGAAAACGCCAAUUCAGCAUGUAGGGCUGCUCUGAGAGGUAAAACCAAGAGUUUAGAUAUAAAUGGUAUGAUCAAGCUUUGUAAUGAGGUAGAUGUGUUUUCUCAACAAGUUUCUAAGUCUAUUAACCUGGCCAUUGGGGCUGCUCUAACUCCAGCUCCAAGAUUGGUGUCAAGCCCCAUUGGCCCAAGUUAAAAGUAGACAUCUGUGUCCUCACAUUGGGUAUAGAUGCCGCCUGGGGCACCCCUGAUUAUUAUAUGCCUCAAUUAACAGCGGUUAACACAGGUGAAUUUGGGCCCCCUCCUCAAAAGACGUUUUUUCUCAUCAUCGGCCGAGUGUCCAGACUUUUACAAGGCCUAAUGGUGACUCCUACAGGGGUUGACACCGACUACCAUGGGGAGAUAAAAAUCUUAGUCACCGCCACGCAGGAACCACUUACCCUUAGGGCUAGAGAGCGCAUAGCCCAAGCCUUACCACUCCCACUAUUCGGCCAUUUCCCUUAUGAAAGAGGAGCGAGGACCUUCCUCCCUGGGAUCCUCGGAAGUCUACUGGGCACAGAAAAUAACCGAUUCAUGGCCCAUGCCGACUUUGUUUCUAGAGGACAAACAGUUCAAAGGGCUCCUAGAUACCAGGGCAGAUGUGACAGUAAUUCCCUCAACACAUUGGCCUGCAGCCUGGCCCUUACAGCCCACUAAGGGAUGGUGUAAUCCACUGAUCAUAAAAUUUACUGCUAAGAGGAGGAACUUAGAGGCUUGAGAAAGUUCUCGCUCUCUCACCUGGGGCCUAAGAUUGUAUCAAGAUAACUAUGACAAUGGCCUGACCUUUAAAACCAUCCCUAACAAUCAUAAAGGAUCCAUAGGACUUCCAGGCACCCGCCCCCCUGUUCCUGCCCCAGGGUGUGCUACGACCCUGUUUCAGCCCACUCUCCCUGCGGGGAGGCCCCCCUCUUCCACUGAUUUACUGUGGUCUAUAUUGAAUGCUUCUGCUUUAGCCUUGUUGCAUAAGACACAAAGAGAUAAUGCGUCAGAAUCUGAAGAUUGUUGGAUGUGCUUUUCUGCUUCCCUGCACUUUUAUGAGGGCAUAGCCUUAUUUGAAAAUUUUACCCUGCUUUCAGACGCUAGGCAGCUUCCCCUUGAGUCAGUUCAGCUUACCUUGACAGAACUCUCUGGGGUAAGAAGUUGUGUGUUGGGCCCAGGCAUGCUUCGAGGCCCUUGCUAGAGAUUUGCAAUAACACAUUUAUAGUAAAUAAAAAUGGGUUUUAAAGAGACUUCGUAAAGGUCAAAAAAUUCAUAGAUUAGGUUUUAUUGGAAGUUAAGAAAUCAUUUCCUAAAACACAUAUAAUUCAUUUUGUCAAUGGUGUUUUUGUUGGUUGCAGAAAAUAGAGAGCGUUUUUACAGAUGGCUAUAAAAUAUUUAACUAAGUGUGGACUGAUAAUGGCUUCAAAAAAGAUUUAGCAUGGUAAACUUUUAGGCUAUUUGAGACAUUUAGUGUAUAGAGAUUGUGUGUUUUCUCAAAAAUUUGCCCUCAGAUUAAAUAAAUUAAAAGUUUUAGAUGCUUGCCAGAAACUGUUAGAAAAUUUUGGAUUUUAAUCUUGGUUUGACAAGCUACCUCUUCUUACAAGCAGGAAAGGAAAGAAAGGAAUAAAAGAAAAUGGAUUUUAGAACUCUCCCAGGCACAGAGAGAAAUUGGGGGACGCCCUGUUUUAUUCUCUCUGGCCCCUACAGGAGAAGCUCUCUACCCUCUUUCUAUUGUCUGGUUGGUGCACCAAUCACGUGUCAAUUCAUGUAUGUUUUCUGUUUUGUUGUCUGAAUGACUGUUUCGUUGUCUGAAUGACUGGCUGUUUUAUGUUUCAUGUU